UACGGAGGGAGCUAGCGUUGUUCGGAAUUACUGGGCGUAAAGCGCACGUAGGCGGCUUUGUAAGUUAGAGGUGAAAGCCCGGGGCUCAACCCCGGAAUUGCCUUUAAGACUGCAUCGCUUGAAUCCGGGAGAGGUGAGUGGAAUUCCGAGUGUAGAGGUGAAAUUCGUAGAUAUCAGGAGGAACACCAAUAGCGAAGGCAGCUCGCUGGGACGGUACUGACGCUAAGGCGCGAAAGCGUGGGGAGCGAACAGG
rnacentral:rRNA from 1 species